rnacentral:lncRNA from 1 species
UCAAAACCAUAAAUACUAAUUAAUUAAUAGUGUUAAAUUAUAGGCAUUCUCUCCAACUUUCACUUGGGAGUCCAGCCCAGCAAAAGCACAGGAGACAGAGAGACAGCAGUCUCCCCCAUUUCCAACUCACAACAAUACCAAAAGAUUCAUAGAAAAGCAAAAGAAAACACCACCAUUUCUCUCCCUCUCUCCCUCUCUCUCUCCGUAGCUUCCUUUCUUUGAAGCAAAGCAAGAAGAGUAAAGGUAGCGUGUGACAACUAGUAAUGGCUGGAUACAGAGCUGAAGAUGACUAUGAUUACCUGUUUAAGGUAGUUCUUAUUGGUGACUCAGGUGUGGGCAAGUCUAAUCUGCUUUCAAGAUUCACUCGUAAUGAAUUCAGUUUGGAGUCUAAGUCUACUAUCGGUGUUGAGUUCGCUACUCGCAGCUUGAAUGUUGAUGGCAAGGUCAUUAAGGCCCAGAUUUGGGACACUGCUGGCCAAGAAAGGUCCGUUUGCCAAUUUCUUUGCUUCUUUUGUGUUUCUCUUUGGUUUUGUGAUCUGGUUUUUCUUUCUUUUACCUGUUAUCUUUCUUGUAAUUUGUGAUCUGGGUAUGUUGGGUGUUUUUAAGUUAUUUAGAGGUUUUAUUUUGCGAUUUCUUAUGUGUUUUUUUUCUUGUUUCAUGCAUUUGUGUGUGUGUGCGCUUUUGAAGUAAUUCACUGUUUUGUGAUCCGGGUCUUGGUUUGUAGGCUUUUGUGUUUCUGUAAAAAGUGAGGAAAGGAAUAGUGAAUUGGGUGUUGGAUCUUGUGAGUUUAGGUUGGAGAUUUGUUAGUGAAGAAGUUUUGCUUUGCUUUUAAGACAAUGGUCUUGAUUAUUCAUGGAUUUGGACUUAGAUUCGCAACCUGAACUUGUGGAUCUUGACAUUCUGCAACUUUUAUAGGCGUUAUGUUGAUUUUAUAUCAAAAGUUUAGAGAAUGUCUUGUAAUGAAAUGGAGUUCGUCACAGUAAUCUCGCUGGGUAUUAGUUGUUGGUAGAGACCAUGUAAAAGCCGGAANNNNNNNNNNNNNNNNNNNNNNNNNNNNNNNNNNNNNNNNNNNNNNNNNNNNNNNNNNNNNNNNNNNNNNNNNNNNNNNNNNNNNNNNNNNNNNNNNNNNAAAUGUAUGAUUAAUAUUGUUGACUAUAUUAUGUGAUUUAUGGUGUUAAAUAUAUGUUUAAGUAUGAUAUCAGGUUUUGAUGACAAUAUAAUAUGUGAUUAACAUAUAUUUAUGUAUAUGUUGACAGUAAUGUUUUAAGCCAACAUAAAAGAGUGAUGUUUUGAUUGACUUUAUUUGUUGCAUUGAUAUGCAUGUACAAAAUAUAUAUGCAUUAGUGCUUAAGUUCAUUUGAAUGCCCAAGUGAAAUAUGCUUGUAUAAAACAUGCAUUAGUACUUAAGUUAGAUGAUGACUAAAUAUAAUAUUUAAGCAUAUGUAAAAGUUAGGAUAAGUAGCUCUACUUAAUGAAUAUGAAAAUAUAUUACUUACUCUUUUAUGAUGAUUUAGACAGGCUUUAAGAUAAUAGAAUCAUUUAAAGAUAUUAUCAAAGGUGCAAGGUAUAUGAAGUGAUGUAAUAACAAUUUUCAACUUCAAACAAGAGUCUUGAUGUAGUAACGGUUUUCAACUUCAAGGAUCAAGAUCUUGUAAAGAUGAUUUGCCAAAUAAAUUUUAAUUUGCAAAGGAAUUAAUUUAUAUAUCCAUAAAACCAAAAACAAACCCAAAAGGACAUAAAAGUACCAAGAAACAACCGAAACACAUAAAACAAGAUAAAAGUUUCAAUAGCUAAAUCGGUUUAACCGAUUUAAGGAAAUGACUUGUUGCCUUACAAAAUGGUCUACCAUUUUGAGAAAAUGGUCCAAACAAUUUCUAGAAAUUCUAGAAUUUAUUCAAGUUCUUCAAAAUGGUCUAACCAAUUUUAAUAACGGUUUAAAUGAUUCUUCAAUGGACAUAAAUAUUUUGAAAGUGUGUUCAAUGAUUAGUUUAAUAUUUUAGCCUUAUAAAUACCUCUCUCUUUAGAAAAAUGAUAAAGAACAUCCAAGGAAAAAUUUUUUUAUCAUCUUCUUACUUUCAUACAACCUUCUACAACUUUUGUUAUACUUUUGAUUCCUCCAAAAACAAGGUUGAAGUGUUUUUGGAAAAACUCAUCCAAAUGCUUAAUUUGUAUCUUAUUCAUCUCUAUUAAGAGAGUAAUAUUGUGAAAAGUGUAAGUGACACUUAAAUACUUAGGAAAGCCUUCUAAAGUUUAUUUAAGUGGUUUGAUACUUGUCCAUCUACAAGUAUUGGCGAGGAAGAGUUUUUUAAUCUUGUACCCAUCAAAAGAAUUAGGUGGAAGGUUUGAUCCUUAACCUGUGUAAAAGGAUUGGGUUUGAUCUUAAGUCUAUAAAAGGAUUGAGUUAGAUCCUGAACUCGUAAAAGGAUUCGUAAAGAUUCUUAAUCUUGAUCUUAUAAAAAAAUUGUGAUAGGUUUGAUCCGGAGCCCGUAAAAGGAUUGAGUUUGAUCUUAAGCUCACAAAAAGAUUGGGUUUGAUCUUAAGCUAAUAAAAUGAUUAUGUUAGAUCCUAAACCCAUAAAAGAAUUAGGAAAGGUACUCAAUAUUUGACCUAUGAAAAAAAAUUAUGUAAAGGUUUGUUCUUACAUGCUAAGAAGACCAAGUGUGAUAAUUAACUCUUGAAUGAUGGUUCAAGGAGAGGAGUAGGUAAUUGUCCAAACCUCUAUAAAAAUCCUAGUGCACACUCUCUUAACUUUAUCUCCUCACUUAUUGUAUUGAUUAUCUUGGUGUAUUUUUACGUUUGUUUCUAUUAUUAUUUUGAGCUUAUUUGUAAUAAUCAUUAGGUUGUGCUAUAUAUUAUUUGAAGUUAAAAAAAAGCGUUUAAAUUGGUAACCUAAUUCACCUCUUUCUUAGGUUCUCCUACACUUUUAAAUACUUCCAAAUAGUUAUAAUUAUUGAAAAACUAUCACCUUUUUAGAAAGACUUUAAGAACUACCUUAAACAUAUGAGAAAUGAAAUAUAAGUUGAAGAUCUCAUCUUAAGAUUAAGAAUAAAAGAGGAUAAUAAGUUAUUUGAAAAAAAAGCCACCUUCUCCCAUAUGUCACCAAGGCAAACAUCAUUAAACAAGUGGCAAAAUCUCAUAAUAAAAACCAAAAGAAAAAUAUUGUUCCAAAGAGGAAUGCAAUUGCUAAUAAGUUUGAUGAAAAAUGUCUCAUCUACAAUAAGACUAAAUAUAAUGCCAAAGAUUGUAGAAAUAAGGCUUGGAAUGAAAAUAUUAAAAACAAAAUAACUUCUCAAGAUAAUAUCACUGAAGUUGAUCACCUCAUAAAUAGAGCUUUAAAAAUGAAUUUUUUUGUUUGUUGUUUUUUAAGUCAACCUAAUCAACAAGUAUAGGUUUCCAAAAUUGAAAAAAGAAAGGAUUGUUGUUUCUCACAAAUCAAGUAUUGAAGACUUUCAUCCUAAUACUAUAAUGGAAUCAAAGAAUUAUAAUUCUUUAAAGAUAUAUUUUCAUUUAAGUAAGCACAUUAAAAUCAUUCACUUAAAAAAAAUUGAAGCUAGCUCAAGUAGACAUCAUCAAUUAAAAGAUCGUAAAGUUAAGCUUAUAAAGAGUAAAAGGGAAAAAUAACCAAAUUGUUUGGUUUUAAUUUUCUAACUUACUUGUUAGAAAAUGAACCUCAGACCUACUCUAAAGCAAUGCUCUGUUUUGAAACAACCUAUUGGACAUAGGUAGUUAAUAGUGAAAUUUUAUUCAUUAUGAAUAAUCAUACAUAAAAACUAGUUGAUUUUUCAUAUGAAAAUAAACCAUCAGGAUAUUAGUGGAUUUGUAAAAGGAUGAUGAAAGUUGAUGAAAUUAUGUUGACAAAUACAAAGCAAGACUUGUUGUUAAAGAAUUCAAAUAAUAAGAAAGUGUAGAAUAUUUUGACACAUAUUCAUAUAUGUUAAGAAUAACUUCUACACAAAUAUUAAUAACAUCAUAAUUAUUAUCAAAUUUUAAAUACAUCAAAUAGAGGUAAAAAUAGAUUCCUUAAAUGGUGACUUUGAUGAAGAGGUUUAUAUGGAACAAUCUGAUAGGUUUGUUGUUUAAGGAUAAAAAAUGAAAUUUUAUAAGUUUAUCAAGUCGUUAUAUGAUUUAAAGUAAGCACCUAAACAAUGUUAUGAAAAACUUGAUAAAAUUAUAUUGUCAAAUAAGUUUAAAAUCAACAAACUUGAUAAAUUUAUUUAUAUGAAUUUUUUUUUAAAAUAAAUGUUAUGUCAUUGUAUGUCUGAACGAUAUGCUAAUUUUGGGCAACAAUGAUCACAUUAUCAAGUUCACUAAGAAAUGUUAACUAAUAAGUUUGACAUGAAAGACUUGGGUAUUAUAAAUGUCAUACUAGGAAUAAAGAUUACUAGGACAUAUAAUGGAUUGAUAUUGUUUCAAUCUCAUUAUGUUGAGAAAGUUCUUAAUAGAUUUUUUAAAUGUGACACUAACACUGUCAAAACACCAAUGGACAUAAGUGUAUAUCAAUCCAAAAUAAUUUAAAGCGAAUACACCAAUUAGAGUGUUCUUCAAUAAUUAGAAGCUUAAUGUCUGUUAUGAACUACAUAGGUCAGAUAUUGCAUAUCUAAUUAGCAAACUGAGUAGAUUUACCAGUAAUUCGAGUAUGAAUAAUUAAAAAGUAAUAAACAUGGUACUUAAAUAUUUGAGAUAUACCUUGGAUUAUGAGUUAUGCUAUAUUGGUUACUCAGCGGUACUAAAAAGAUAUAAUGAUGCAAAUUGGAUAUUCGACACUGAUGAUUUAAUAUCCAUUGGUGAAUAUAUUUUCACACUUGGUGGAAUAGUUAUAUCAUAUAAAUCUUCUAAGAAAACAUGUAUCACAAGAACCACAUUGGAAUCAAAGUUUAUUGCUCUUGAUAAAGUUGGAUAGUAAGCCUAGUUAGUUAGCAAUUGGAGGGCACAUGACCAGUUUUGGAAUUUCUUAGAGGAUAUUUUAUAUUUACCAAAACUAGUGCUAGCAAUUUGUGUCCAUUAUAAUAGUUAGUUAGCAAUUGGAAUGUCACAUAUUAUUAUAUAUAAUGGUAAGUCUAUAUAUAUACAUCAUAGAUAUAAUACUGCUAAACACUUUCUCUCGAAUGAGAUAAUUUCCAUUGAUUAUGUAAAACCAAAGAAAAAUAUUGUGGAUUCAUUAACUAAAGGUUUAUUGAGAGAGAUUGUGUAUAACUUAUCGAUGAGAAUGUGUUUAAAGCCUUUAAAGAAUAAAGAAUGUAAUUAUGGUAACCCUACCUAGUUCAUUGGAGAUCUCAAAAUCCAGUUUAAAAGAAAAAUUAAGUCAUAUAAAGCUCUUAGUAUCACUCAAAAAUUAUUAUUUCAGCCUAUUUAUACAAUGAAAAAGGUGUUAGUUAUAAUGUGAUAAAGAGUGAACAAUGCUUUUAGUGAUUUUUUUCUUAGUAUACCAAAUGGAAUAUAACAUAACACUCCUCAUAAAAGAUCACUUAUAUAAGUGAGAAAUGUUUGAGAAUUUAUAAAGAGACUGAACUUUCUAAAACAUUCAUGAAACUGAGAGUUGUUCAAAGUCAAAAUAAACAUGAUUGCGAGAAUCAAAGAGAAUUUCUAGGUAGAGAACUAUAUGAAUACUAUUGUCUUAAUUUAUAUAAAAUGUUAAAUAGUUCAAGACAUCACUUUUACUAUAUAGUCGAAUAAAUCUGAUAGUAUUUCACUAAUGAAGGUUUAAAGCAAAAACAACCUUUCUUGAUGUAGUGAACCAUCAAACUGUUCUCUUUAUAAAUAUUUGAGUCUUUUUAUAUCAGUCAAAUAAUUUCCAUUCAUAUAGGGAAUUUUUAGAAAUUUCUUUCAAUACAUGGUUAAUGGACAUAGUUAAGGCCAAAAUAAAAGUAGAGUCCACUCACUUUUAGAGUUAAAUUCAUAUUAAAAAUUAUUCUUCAAUAAAAGUUCUUUAAUAUGGAAGAUCAAUAUGACUAAAAUAAAUUAUGAGUAAAUGAGAAAUUGAUCUAAAAAAACUCUUAAUUGUCAUAUUUUUAUGAAACUCAAAACUCUUAAUUCUAUAUUAGAAAAAUACAAGAUUUUCUUAUAUUUUAUAUAGCUGAAAGUUAAAGAUUCAUAAAUGAGCCUAAGCAAAGAAGAUUUGGGCUUAAUUCACAAACACACAUUCGCUCGGGCUACGUCUAGACAAGAGCAUAUGCUUGGGGACCAAGGGCAUGGAUUUAGGUUUAGGUUUGCUUUUUGCAAACCUAUUUUGGACUUGAAUUUGAGUUUGUUAUAAAAUAAUUCUUUGACCUAAAAUAAAUUGUUUUUUGAGUCCAUGUAUUUAUUCAACCAAUGAAUACAAAAUAUGAACAAUCUUUUUCUUUAGUCUAAACAAUUUUAUUUAAAAUGUAGCAUUUUAAAAUAAAAAAAUAUCCAUUAAUUUUACUUUUAUGAUGGGUAAUUAAAGCAAAUCGAUGAAAAAUAAUUUUGAUAAUUAUUAGAAUUAAUUAUGCAUCAAUUUUAUGCCAAAAAUAUCAAUAUAAAAAGAGGUAAAAGGGAGAUGUUCAGUAUACCUUACAAUAACUCUCUAGCCUUUUUCUCUAUUAUUUUUCCUAGAUUUUCUUGUCAUUUUUCUUCAUAUAUUUUGUAGAGAUAUUUUAAGUACUCUUAUUCCUUCGGUUUGUAGAUUUUGAAAAGAAAUGCAUCAUUUAAAAGUGUAAAUGUUGGAAUAUUGGGGAGUUGAUUGCACUCAAUUCACUUGAAUAAAUUGACCAACAAUAAAAAUUUAAAGAUAAAUAAUUAAUAAUUAAUAACAACAAAGUUUUUAUUUUAAUCAGAUUGUAAUAACUUCAACAAGAAAGGUUUUUUAUUUGAACAAUAUUAACAUUUUGUUUGCCUAAUUUCAUUCAAGCAUGCUAGUUAAGAUAUUAGUUUGAUCUUAUCUUUAUAUUACCUACAUGUAAUUUGAAUGUCUUUAGAUUUAUCUUCUACUCACUGGAACUUUUGAUAACAAAUAAUAACUAUUAGAAUUUAUUUGACUGUUGGAAACUUGGGAAUAUUUUUAAAAGGAACUCAAAGUUAUUUUAAUUUUUUUCUAAAGUAGUUUCUAUGACUUCAAAAAAGGUUUUAAAAUAGAUUUUGGUUUCGAAAUCUCAAAUGGCAUUAUUAUUAUUAUUAUUAUUAUUUUUCAUGAAAACGAAGGAAUAAUUUUGAGCAGCUGAGAUAAAUAUAAUUUGCUCCCAAAGCAUAAACCUUUUCAUUUCCUAACCACUGGGUCUGAUUAAAAAAAAUAUAUUUAGAUUGGAGAGAACUAAUUGAUAUUGUUAUUAUAUCAAGUUUAACAGGUUUAUCUUGAAAUCUCUUGCUUUGAUAUUUUAUUUACCUUGAGUUUAAAAUUAAAUAAUGAGAAAGCUGUCAUGAUGUAACACGGUUGAAUUUGAUUGGUCCAAAAACAACUUAUAUGACAAGUAAAAAGUGUGGCUUGGUUUUAAAAAAAAUGAAUAUCAUAUUUAAAAAAAAAAAAUUGAGACGAAAACAAUUGGAUCGAUCUAGACUUCAUUGCUUAAUCUGUCAAACCCGUACCUGAGUCAUGAACUCUACUGAAUUUGAUAACUUUUUUAAAAAAAAACUAUAUUUUACUUAAUUAUACAAUAAUAAAAAUAGACGCUUGCAAAAACGAGCACAAAUUAAAUAUUAAGAUAUUUGUUUUAAGAUUAUAAUAAUUUUAUAGAAAAUAAAUUAAAAUAAAUUACAAAGACCAAUUUAAAACUAUCAAAUAUUGAAGUAUAAAAUUAUAUAAAAAAACAAUUCAAAUGUAAUAUUAAAAAAUAAAAUAAAAUAAAAAAUAAAAAAAGAAAAUAAACAGUUAAAACCAUAGUUUUAAAACCCGACCUGGUCAUCGACCCGGUCCAAUGAUCGGGUCACGAGUUAGAUGGGUUGACCCGGGUUAACUCGGGUUAACUCAAAAAAAAAAAAACACCUAUAUAAAACACCUAACUAAUGCCAAUAUAUUUAUAAUUAUAAGACAUGACCAGCUCAGUGCUCCUCAUCGAUUACUUGACACCAUACAAAGCUUCAAUUCCAUGAACAUCAUCGUCUUGCAGAACCCUGUUUUCAUUCAUGCCAUUAUAUGACCACAUGACAACGCCCUUAACUGAGGAAUGAGCAAGCCCCAAAGCAUGUCCAAUUCAUGCAAUCCAACCGUCAGAAAGUCAUAGGCUCCUGGGGUUGCACCAAAUGACCAAUUUAGAUCGACAUUGAAAAACACUCUCCCAUCUGUUGAUGGAGAUGCAAAAGCUUCUUUACAUUCAUCCAUACCUCCUUGACCAUUUUUAAGGAAGCUAAUCGUGAUAUCUGCAAUUCUAAGAUUCCGCUCAACAAAUUUAAAUGUAAAAGGUAAAUGAUCACCCCAUGGUUUAAAACAAUAUUUUGCAAGAGGAUUAAACAUAUCUUUUCUGGUAUGAGGUUGAUAUCCCCAGUUAAGUAAUCGUAUCAAUAUAAAGGUUAUAAAUUGUAGCAAUUAAAUCUCAUUACUGCUAUAAAACAAUUUAUUCUAAUCAUAUAACAGAAAGACAUUCCGUGACAGAUAUAUUUCCACAAGCAUUGAAUUUGGAAGCCAAUCUUGGGCAACUACACAAUUAAGGACACAACAAGGAAGAACUAUAAACAUAUUUAAAGAAAUGCAGAAACAGAGAAAUAUCAUAAAAAAAAUUUAAAAACAACUAAGAAAAAUCGAUGAGGCAAUACUGAGGAGUUUCUAAUUUCUCACAACAAGCACGUUCUCUUAGUUGUUUGUCAGUUUCUUCACUACUUCCUAAUCCAUUUUCUACACGUCUUCAUUGCUUCAAUAAACUAUGCAGCUUAACUAAUAUGCAGCUUAUGAAGAAAAGAAAAUGUGCUUGUUGAAUCAAGAAAAAUAAGGCAGAGAUCAAGAAAAGAACAGAGAAACAUACCUGUGGGUGUGAACUGCGAAUGAAACGUUGCAGAGAUCAAGAACUGCGAAUCGAUGCCCAAUCAAGAAUUGCGAAUCGAUGCCUAAUCAAGAACUACGAGUUCAAAAAAAGGCAAAGAAUAAAGAAAAGAGAGAGUGAAAGAAGGAGAUUCAUGAAGAGAAACAAGAGUCUAACCUUAUUGAAGGGAUCAAGAGUCUUCUACUCCACUGCUCUUCGUGAUUGAAAUUGCUUUUCUUUAAUUAGGUUUUCUCUGUUUGCAAUUGCAGCAAUUCUGCAUUAGUGCUUCGUUAAUCUUUGUCGUUUGACCUCUAUGCAUAUAUAAAAAAAAGAGGCUGGGUCCCGGGCGACCCGCCGGGUCGACCAGGUUUCGCCGGGCCAGCUCCUAGGCGGGUUUUUGCUUAGACCCAGACUGGUCCCAUGCCCGGGUCAGCUUGGUCCCGAGUCGACCCGCCAGGCCGGUCCGGGUUUCAAAACUAUGGUUAAAACCUUAACUUAUGGAGUGUAUAGUAUAAUACUUUUGUUUAAUUUGAUAGUGAAGUGGAAUUGGCAGACUAACAUUUUUUUUUCUUAACACGCCAUGAUUAAGUUGAUACCAAUAAAACAAAAAAAAAAGUUUAUAAUUUCUCAUAAGUUUACUUGAAUUUUAAAUUUUUUGGUUGAAAAUGAACACGCUUCCUUUCUACCAGGUAAAUCGUUUCAUGUUGACAUACCAUCUCAAGAGACCGUUGAGUUAAUUAUAAUUAGUUUAUCAAAACUAAAAUAUUAGUCCCCACAGUAUUAAAAUAAUUAAAUCCUCUUUUAACUAUUAUAAUUUUUUCUUUCUUUCCAAAAAUAUCUUCUUUCCUGAUGUAGCAAUUCACAUCAACUAUUAGUAUUUUUUUUUUCAAUUGUAGCUUUUUAUAACCAAUUUAAUGACUAAUAUAUUGAAAUUUAUUAAAAAAAAAACAAAAUUCAACAAAAGAGAAUUAAAGUGUAAAAUAAAGAGAAAUCCCAUGAUUAAUCUUAAAUAUUUUUUUGUCCAGCUAUUUUUUUGUAUUUUCCUUUUCAAUCUUAAGGUUUGAUUUUUAAUUGAACUAACUUCAUAAUUUAUUUUGGUUUGUUUUUCAUAUGGUUAUCAUGAUUUCGAAUAAAUAUUUCAAUAUUGAGUUGAUAUUUAAUUUUCAAGCGUCUAUUUUUAUUAUUAUUAUAUAAUUAAAUAAAAAUAGUUUAAAAAUUAAGUUAUUAAACCUAGUGGAGUUCGUUACCGGAGUUUGGUGGGUUAGACUAUGAAACCUGAAUCAAUCUACUAUAUCACCGUCUCAAUAUAAAAAAAUAUUAUUUUAAAUUAUUUUAAAAACCAAAUUACGUUCUUACUUGUUGUUUAAGCUAUUUUUAUUGAAUUAUAUUAAAAUAAUUUUUUUAUAAUUUAAUUUUAAAUUAAAUUAAGUAAAAAAAUAAAUUAAAAAGUUAUUAUAUUACCCUGAGUUCUCGCUGCAGUCUAAAUUUUUUUUUUUUUUUGUUCUAUAACAUUUUGGUCCGACUUGCAGCUUGCGUUAUCAAUCAUCUAGUUUGACGUAAUUAUGUUUCCUCUUUUCUAUUUUUAAUAAAUAUAAAAAAAUUUAAAGAAAUGAAUAAGUUAUAAACAAAAUCUAAACGUAGGAAUUAAAUUAAACCAUCGUUUCUCAAAACCAUAAAUACUAAUUAAUUAAUAGUGUUAAAUUAUAGGCAUUCUCUCCAACUUUCACUUGGGAGUCCAGCCCAGCAAAAGCACAGGAGACAGAGAGACAGCAGUCUCCCCCAUUUCCAACUCACAACAAUACCAAAAGAUUCAUAGAAAAGCAAAAGAAAACACCACCAUUUCUCUCCCUCUCUCCCUCUCUCUCUCCGUAGCUUCCUUUCUUUGAAGCAAAGCAAGAAGAGUAAAGGUAGCGUGUGACAACUAGUAAUGGCUGGAUACAGAGCUGAAGAUGACUAUGAUUACCU